UGAUCCAGCCAUGCCGCGUGAGUGAUGAAGGCCUUAGGGUCGUAAAGCUCUUUCGCCUGUGAUGAUAAUGACUGUACCUGGUAAAGAAACCCCGGCUAACUCCGUGCCAGCAGCCGCGGUAAUACGGAGGGGGUUAGCGUUGUUCGGAAUUACUGGGCGUAAAGCGCGCGUAGGCGGAUUGGAAAGUUGGGGGUGAAAUCCCAGGGCUCAACCCUGGAACUGCCUCCAAAACUCUCAGUCUUGAGUUCGAGAGAGGUGAGUGGAAUUCCGAGUGUAGAGGUGAAAUUCGUAGAUAUUCGGAGGAACACCAGUGGCGAAGGCGGCUCACUGGCUCGAUACUGACGCUGAGGUGCGAAAGUGUGGGGAGCAAACAGGAUUAGAUACCCUGGUAGUCCACACCGUAAACGAUGAAUGCCAGUCGUCGGGUAGCAUGCUAUUCGGUGACACACCUAACGGAUUAAGCAUUCCGCCUGGGGAGUACGGUCGCAAGAUUAAAACUCAA
rnacentral:rRNA from 1 species